rnacentral:rRNA from 1 species
AUUGAACGCUGGCGGCAUGCCUUACACAUGCAAGUCGAACGGCAGCAUGGAGAGCUUGCUCUCUGAUGGCGAGUGGCGAACGGGUGAGUAUUGCAUCGGAACGUACCGUGUAAUGGGGGAUAACGUAGCGAAAGUUACGCUAAUACCGCAUACGACCUGAGGGUGAAAGCAGGGGAUCGCAAGACCUUGCGUUAUACGAGCGGCCGAUGUCAGAUUAGCUAGUUGGUGAGGUAAAGGCUCACCAAGGCGACGAUCUGUAGCGGGUCUGAGAGGAUGAUCCGCCACACUGGGACUGAGACACGGCCCAGACUCCUACGGGAGGCAGCAGUGGGGAAUUUUGGACAAUGGGGGCAACCCUGAUCCAGCCAUGCCGCGUGAGUGAAGAAGGCCUUCGGGUUGUAAAGCUCUUUCGGCCGGGAAGAAAUCGCACAGGCUAAUACUCUGUGUGGAUGACGGUACCGGCAUAAGAAGCACCGGCUAACUACGUGCCAGCCGCCGCAGUAAGAC